GUCUACGGCCAUGCCACCCUGAACAAGCCCGAUGUCUGAUCUUGGAAGCUAAACUAAGCAGGGUUGGGCCUGGUUAGUACUUGGAUGGGAGACCACCUAGGAAGACCAGGUGCUGUAGGCA
ensembl:rRNA 5S_rRNA 5S ribosomal RNA